UGCUUUAAUUUUAUUUUGUAUUUUUAAAGUAGAACACAUCUGUGCUCAUUUGUAAGUUGAAGAGGAGAGACCAGUAGAGAAGGAGAAACUGAGUACAGAGGAAAAUGAGAUAACGCAUGAUGGAGAAAGGUUGCAGAUUCUACGGAAUAACUGAAUGUGUGUAGCCCCAUGUUAAGAAGGCAAAGAAGGCUCUGUCAUAUGCUGAUUAGUCUUGUACAUUUGCUAUAGCAUAGUUCCCAUCCUAGAACCCUAAGAAGUCCUUGAUGCUGCUUUGAAACCAAGCUUCCAGCCUAUACCAACACCGAGACAUGGACUAACAGGACGAGGCCAGCAUAGCCCCAGUUCCCAUUCAAGAUCUUAAGAAAUGCAUUCUGCCUUUUGACCAUCCUGUUUCUGCAUUACCUAUGGACAUGAAUUUAAAUGAGUCAGAGGGCUAUCUCAUAAAGAUGGUGGUUAUUUUCAAAUGGGUCCAUUUGAAAAUGUGUUUCAGUAUUUGCUUGUUUUUUUGUUAACUGUUUUCAUAAUUUUCUCUCACCAAGUUGCUAACUGUUAUAUAAUGACCUCAAGAAGGUAUUAGGGGAAAGGAGGAAAAAGAGAUCAAUAGGAAAUUUCCAAAAUGAGUUAACAUCUAAUUACUUUACAUUUUCCCCAAAGUCAAUCAGGUAAAUUUAUGGAAGUUGUUUUUGUAGUUAACUUAAUUAAGAAAACAUGGUACCCAAAAUGAUUGAACAGUUGCCUCAAUCCUCAGAUGACUUGACACAGACCCAGGAUUAGAAGAGUCUUCUGAUUCCCACAGUAGAAGUAAUGCAUUUACUACCAUUGCUACAGCACACCGUACUGCCUGACAGUUACUGCUGCUCAGCUUUCCAAAUGGCACAAUCAGUGUCUGGAUCUGUUUACAAUACCAGUCUCCUUCAUGGCUGAGGAAAAUCGUGAUGGUGGGAACCAAAAGCCACUUAAGUCCAGCAAUGGUAAAUACAAGAAAUAGCCAUGACUGUCUCAGGUUAGAAAAAGAUUGAACUUUUUAUACUGGAACAUUACACUGUUCUCUGAGAGGCCUUGAUAAUGCUUAACAUUUAUUAACAGCAGUCAAGUGGCUGCUCUCCAAAAUCCCUGUUUAUGGCAAUGAUUACACAUGAGCCCUGACAAUAUUCUUAAAGGACAAUAGAGUGAAAAGGAAAAAAGUCGAGUGUUCUCUAGCCUUGGUACCAGUUUUGCAGGCAAUGUAUUCAGCAGCUCACUCUCUGCUCCACAAUGCACAUCACUGAGUUGGUAAACUAGAGUUUUUAUAGAGAUCAAGAGAAAUUUUCAUUCCAGCCUAGCCAUGGAAAUGCCGCCAAAAUCUGAAAGCCUGAACUCUGCAGCAAUGAGAGAACAGUUGGUUUCUGCAUCUGAAAUAGGCUCUGGCAAUGGUGUUGCAUGUAGCUAGGUCCCAUUUUGCAAAAUAGAAGCCAUUAUCUUUAGCAUAUCAACCAGACAAAAUUAAAUUGUAAUUACAUGGAGACAUCCAAAAGCAAGCUAUUUUGUCUUCAGUUAAAUUCAAAGAAGUGUAAUCGAGAUUACCAAUUUCAAAAGAAGUUUAGACAGGCAAUAAAUAUGGUUAGAAGAAACAUGAAAUUAGAAAUUUAAAGAAUACCAGUCUGAAUUUUAAUGACUGGUAAAUAAUAUUUUAGGAACCCAAGUAAUGUACUGUAUUGAAUUCUUUCAGCUAUAGAUUAUGGAAAAGAUAUGUGAAUUUUCUGCAAAUUUCAUUGAUAUAUUAAGCAACUUCUUUCAUUACCACAGCUUUUCAUUUGCUUUUUAAGAAGUAAAUAUAAAUAUUUGUACUUGUAAAAUGUUGUAAGGAGCCAAUACACUGUGAAAAAAUUGCUUACUCUUCACCCCCAACCAAAAAUAGAUGAAUGCCACUUUCCUCUGCAAGACUCUUUACUAUGAGAAUUAGACCUCUGCUGUGGGAGAAAAAUAUUUUUUAAAUCGGAUCAGUCACUGUGGAGACUUUGAAAGAAUAGCUUGUAUCUAUUUAAGAUGGCCAAGAAGAAAAGUUCAUACGCCAGUGCAUUUCCCAAUAAUGAAGUCCUUUCCAAGGGGAAUGUCAGUGGUUUUGUGUUUUACAGCCACCUGAUUACAUUCUGACCAAAGGAGUUAAUAGCUAGUUACAAUUCUAACCUACCAGAAUUGAAAGUGAACUGCAAAUGAGUUUUUAAGAAGUCUACCUAUUUCAGCAACGUCUGAUGAAGCACUUGCCCUGGCCGAGGUAAAAUGGGAAUCAGCAAUUCCCCUUCAGAGCAACCCUGUGUUCUCUUUAUCAGCUCUAAAGAUGAGCAAUCUGGCUCCUUCCCAAGUUCGGUUGCCACAGUGGAAUAUGGUGGCAAAGUCAUUUUCACCAACCUCCCCAAAGUCCAUUUAAGCAUGUGUAACAUACGCACAGACAUGUACCUAAACUAUGGAGGAGAGAGACAGAAAUUAAAUAACACUUUGAAAAAAAAAAUCAGAUAACAUGAAAGAAUCCAACAGGAAUUUUAAGUGUCAGGUUGUUCACUUUAUGACUAAUGCUAACAUUAUAUUCACAAGGAGAGAGUGUAGUCACUUCCACACAUCCUUAUUUUGGUGUAAAUGUCAUGAAUAAGGCAAUGGCAGGAGACACUCUGAAGUCAGGUGUUUCUCAUGCUCUCCUUUGUUAGUAGCAUCUUUCCAUAGCAUUAUGCAGAAGCCUUUCGAUUUCAGUUGCACAAAGGAAGAAUUUGAAUAUCUUAUUCCUUUUAGAGAGCUUCAGAUCCAAGGGUGAAUACCUCCCUUUGUGCCAAUGAGGUCACACAUAGACAUACAUUUAACACUGCUUUGACAGAAUCAGGCCCUGUUUGCCUCGUGCAUGCAUAACCCUAGCCUCUCCUUGACUGACCUUUUGUAAUCAGCGUUUUCUUCUCUCCAACUAUUUGUUCCCCAGUUCCUGUCUGCCCUGUAGCACAAAUCCAGUUACUAAUGCUGCCAGAAGGCCUGACACUUACCACCUCUAUCAAGCCAAUUUAGUUACAGAGAGAGAGAGCUCUUCCAUCAGCUGGUCCACUCCCCAAAUGCCCACAAUAGCUGGAGCUGAGCCGAUCUGAAGCCAGGAGCCAGGGUCCUCCUCUGGGUCUCCCAGUGUUUUGAUCUGGGCUAGCCCUGUGACUUGCUGUGGGCCAACAGAUGAAAUGUGCCAUCGAUGAAUGCAGUUCUCAAGAAAACAUGUAUUUCUGCUUGCUUUCUGCCAGUCUUCUCCAUUAAAACAUGCCUGUGCUAGGUGGCUGGAGGAUGGGACACAUGAAACAGAGGUGAGUUGCCCCAGUCAUUCUGACUAAACUCUUUUAAACCAG